UGGGGAAUUUUGGACAAUGGGGGAAACCCUGAUCCAGCCAUCCCGCGUGUGCGAUGAAAGCCUUCGGGUUGUAAAGCACUUUUGGCAGGAAAGAAACGUCAUGGGUUAAUACCCCGUGAAACUGACGGUACCUGCAGAAUAAGCACCGGCUAACUACGUGCCAGCAGCCGCGGUAAUACGUAGGGUGCAAGCGUUAAUCGGAAUUACUGGGCGUAAAGCGUGCGCAGGCGGUUCGGAAAGAAAGAUGUGAAAUCCCAGAGCUCAACUUUGGAACUGCAUUUUUAACUACCGGGCUAGAGUGUGUCAGAGGGAGGUGGAAUUCCGCGUGUAGCAGUGAAAUGCGUAGAUAUGCGGAGGAACACCGAUGGCGAAGGCAGCCUCCUGGGAUAACACUGACGCUCAUGCACGAAAGCGUGGGGAGCAAACAGG
rnacentral:rRNA from 1 species